GGUAAGGGUGAAAACGUGCGGUAAGAGCGCACGCUUCUUCCUGGCAACAGGAGGAGGGGAUAAACCUUGUGGGUUGAAAUGCCAUGUACACCUCGGUGUGCCCCUUGGGGGCUCUUUAGGUUGCUCGCCUAAUACCUUUUGGGCCGAGGGGGGUAGGCAGAUAGAUCCAGGUGGUGACGCCUGGGCUAGAUAAAUGAUAGAGCAUCCCUGCUUGCAGGGUGGACAGAAUCCGGCUUAUAGGUUGGCAAUAGGC
rnacentral:RNase_P_RNA from 1 species